UAAAUGAACUGUUACUGCAAAUCAGAAGAAACAUGCUGGGAAGUGGUUUAGUGUGUCUCAUAUGUGCAAGUGAUUUAUUUAGCGUUGACUUUUUGUUAAGUUCAUCGAUGUAAGGGAUUACAAAAAUCUGUACAAAUUCAUGCGUACAUGAAUGUACUUCCAUACAGUGAAGGUCAUCUGUUCUUGCCUUAGUGUGAGUCCUGAUUUCCCUUUAAUGGGCAGGAAAAAUAUAUAAAAACCCCAAUGUUUGUCAUUCAUGUAGUGCUUCUUACAAAUAUCCCAUGGUUUAAUUCUUGCAUCCUGAUAGAAAAGCACUAAGUGAUAUACUCUGAAUGCAAUUUAAAUGGUGCCCACCAGUUGUGUUCAUCUUAGAAAGAUUAUUGGAGGGGAUCUGGGGAAGAGAAAGAGCUCUGCUCCAGAUAUGAACCGUGGCUGCCGUGCAGGGUCUCCCCAUGUCUAGACAAGUGCAUGGCCAUGGGGUGAUCGGGCCCUUGCACUUGUGCCUGGGCAGACGCUUUGGUCAGAGCUGCCGGGAAGGGGCUCUGCAGGAGCUGAGGCUCGGACGGCGCCGAGUCAGCAGCAGCUGCUGAGCAACGGCCUGGGGAGCACGAGACAGCAAAAUACACAGGUGUGCAGAGCGCAAAGAAUGUUGCCCUGCAAAACUCAGUUGACAAUUAGACCGAUGCUGCACAAGCCAGACAAGAUUCCAGCUCUGUCCAGACUCUAGAGAGACUUAACAUACAGUAAAACGCAAUACAUUGUUUUACCAUAAAGAUAGAGCUGUGUUGCUGAGUAUCCGCUGUGCUCAGCUGCGUGCAGUCAGCAGUGGUGUUACGUGUCUUCAGGGGUAGUUACUCCUCAUUCAGGCGCAGACAGCCCUGCAGAGUCUUAAAUGCAAAGGCUUUGCACCUGUGUAGCAAGAACUGAAAUUUCCACAAAUAUCUGGAAGUUUUUCACAAAUUUUGGCAAAUGUUUUAGGAGAUUUGAUUGCUGUGUCACCCGAAGGAGCAAUACUACGUGAAAUCAAAUGUACCAGACCGAUGCUUCACAAAGUUUGGUUGCAGAUGCUGUUGAAUCCCACAUGGAAGGUACGUGCAAGGUACUGGUUGAGUCCAUGGGUGAAUAAGGAGGAUGAUGUGUGGGCUUCUCACGUUAGCCUGGUCACUGAUGAAUGAAGGUGGUUGUGGGGUGAGAGCAGCACACCUCGCUGGGCAGUGCUUGAGCAUCAUGUCGGUGUUGUGACGUAUCCCGUUAUUUGCUCAUAAUUGUGCCCGGGAAUCCACGUGACUCGGGCUCCGUGACUGGAUUUUGUGCUCUCUGUCCUGUGGCGCAUCCAGAGCACAGUCGUGCAAAGAAUCAUCCUUCAGUGGAUUUGAUCUGCGCCUGAGAAUAUCCCUGGGUGGUGAAUGAGCUUGCAAGUUGACCUCCAAGGAAUAUCCUGCCGCUGGGGUGCGUCUGGAAGAAGAUGAGCACGUGCUGUUCUCCAGCUCUCGGGCACAGGAGAUGUUGAACUGAGGAGCAGAACCAGGAGCUUGAGCUGUGCACGUGCACAGAUGCUGUUGGCACCUCUUGGCCUGCAGCUCCCAUACCGGGUGGUGCUGGGCACAGCAGGUGUCUCGAGAGGACCCGUUGUAGGAACAACACACACGUUCUGCUCCAUUUCCGUGGAAAAUUCCCUGCAGAUUAAGCUAAUUUGGAAGAAAAUGUUCUCUUUGCAUCUAAGGCCCUUUUCCUAAAUGAGGAACAGUCCCUUGCGUCAAAUGCUGCAUGAACUUGGAAGGGCCGCUGUGUUCUGUCCCAACAAGGCUCGCGGGCAUGUGAGUUUCAUUCUUUCAAAUGUAACCAGAGGAAGCGGCAGCAGCGCGUGUGUCCGUGUGUUGUUAGUGCAGCCUGAACAUCAACCAAAAUGUCAAAGAAUAGGAUCUGACAGAAAAACUGUUGGGUGGGGAUUUGGCAAGUGUCUGCUGAAAAAUGAUUCAUUAUUGUGCAAAGGAAGGAAGCUGCCGCUGCCUUGAGCCGAACAUGGAAUUACAGCUGGACAAAUAAGUGUCUUGUUACAGAUUCAUUUUCAUCCCAGAUCAAACCAGAAGAGUUGAUUUAGAGUGAUUGAGGAAACACAAUAAUGAAGGGAGAGAAAUGGUUUGGAGGCUGAAUGAAUGCUUUUCCUAACCUUAAGUGAGACAUUUUACCUUUGUCUUGAGUAGUUUUAAAUACUGUAUCCAUGAUUAAAAACAACUGACAUUUUGGAGUGGAACACCAUUCCAGAUUUUUUCAAAUGGAUUUUUUUCCCCUUUCUCUGGAUGAUCUUUGCAAGCAGCAGUGUGAUGGAAUAGGGACGUGAAUGUGAAAUGUUCUGUUUGAAUUUGGAUUCUUCCAUUCCAAGAAGGUCUGAGUGCCAGCAGCUCUGUUUGAAGGUCUCUGGUGCAUCUUGAUAUUUUUGGGACUGGUGAGACUUCCUCUCUUCAGGUAUGAAGAUACAAUUAGAAGGUUCAGAGUUACUAACUGCAAAUUUCUGAAAAGUGUAUUAGUGACUUGAAAAUAAAGAACAAUUGCUCUAAUGCAAUUGUGGACUCCUUUGAUAUGCCUUCUGGUUUCUGGAUUGUUGGAUUAUUCAUAGUUAUUUCUCCAUCUUUCCUCUUCCACCACAAAGGCAGAAUACGCACUUGUUCAUUAGAUGUCACAGGUGAGCACCGGGAGCUGUGACUCUACCAGUGAAGAGACAUUGGAAAUCUUGAAGAUUGCAAAGUUUCCCCUGGAUUAUUUGGUGCUUGUUGGGAACACGGGUACGAGAAUCUUGAUCUGUUGGGAUGUUCUACCCAGGAAGAUUUGGCAGAGACAUCAGACCAAGUCUUGCUCAGCCAGGCCUUGUAGCAAACCGGGUAAAGGCAUGGAGAGGAGGGGGGGAAAGAAGUUUUCAUGCUUUUCAGCAUCCUGAAGCUCUGCAGGGAUCUCUGUGAUGGUUGGAGAACCCAUGUAACAGUUUUGGUGAUUAAGUUGCACUAAGACAAGUACCCAGUAGAGGCUGCAUCUUUCACCAGACUGGCUGAUAUGCAAGGCUGGGUAAGCCUGCUUGGGUUCGGAAACGAAGCAGCACGCUUCAGAAAUAACUACAACUGGAGAGCAAUAGUGCACGUUUCACAUCUGCUACUUCUGUUUCAGGUCUGAAAGAGCUUGUGUGCAUCAAAGCUUGUGUAAGUUUUCCAAUGGUAAGAAUUGGUUUAGCCUAGGAUAUGGCCUUUGUAUCUGAAUCCUGGCUUAACUUUUCUGGAGAUAUUUCUUGCUGUCUUGUCAUGGCCUCCCUGCGAGAUGCUACACUGGAGGCUCUGAUGAGCUGUGGUGCAGCAGAGGCGUUUCAGAGGGACCAAGCGCCUCUGGCUGCGGGACAGCAACGUUGCUCUUGCUGCAAGACGGCAACAGGCGGGAGCUCAGAGCCUGAAGUUGAGCUCAGCACUUCGGGAGAAAUAACCCGCGCUGAGCGUCCCUGGGCAGCAGCCGGCCCUGCAGCGGGGCAGAUUACGUUACAGCACAAUUACCAUUUCGCUGAGUGCUUUUACUUUUGUCUGCACAUUUCAGUUGGUCCAAACGCUUUGCAAGCGAAGGCUGAAAGAUAUUAUACGGAAAGGGAAGUGCUUUCCUCAGUUAAUGUAGGUGCAGUUCCUGUGUGGGAAAAGGUUAAAUGGUAACGAGAAAGAUCGGGCAGGAGUCCAGCACUUUAUAGCCUCGCAGGGAGAGUGCUCGAGUUCUGUAUUAACAGUUUUUCUAAAUUCCUUGUUCUUGAAGCCACAAUAUGAGUAAUAAUAACAGCACAAAGAAGGGUGGCAGAAAACUGGAAAGAGACGUUUGCUUCUUUAUGUGAUCUUUGCUUCUGGACCAGGUUUGCUUUUGUUUUCUUGUACAUAAUCAUCAGCAAUAAAAGUGAAGAAAUGAAGAUUUCUGUGAAAUCCUGUGACCGUCGGAAGGCAGUGGCUUUGGUUUUGUUUUGUAAAAUUUUUCCAAAUGGGGCUUGACUUUGACAAAACAUCAGUCAAACUUAGGGCUGAGUUUGUGAGUUGCAUUUUGUUUUACUGCACAGCAGCUCAGGAGGCAUCUGGUUGGCUUCUUGCACUAUUUGUUUUUAGUGGGAUUUUUUGUUUUUCCACAGUGCGCAAAUAAUGAUAUUUUUAAUUAGGUGUUUGUUUUUAGCAAACUAACACCUACACUCUCCUGUCCCCGUUUUCUUGGAAGAACAACAGUGCGGGGGGAUUCAGGAAGAACAUCUCAGCGUUGAUUCCUUUUCCAAAGAAACUGCUUUUUGGGAUUUGAGUGACAGAAGCCCCACAGGAAUGUUUGGACAGUGGAAGACUUUGCCAUCAAGCUGCAAAGCCGUUUCUGAGUGCAGGCCCAGUAAAUCACAGAAUCACAGAACUGACUGGGUUGGAAAAGACCUCAGAGAUCAUCCAGUCCAACCCUUGGUCCAACUCCAGUCCAUUGACUAGAUCAUGGCACUAAGUGCCAUGUCCAGUCUCAGUUUAAAAACCUCCAGGGCCAGUGAGUCCAGCACCUCCCUGGGCAGCCAUUCCAAUGCCUGACCACUCUCUCUGCAAAGAAUUGCUUUCUAAUAGCCAGCCUAAAUUUCCCCUGGCAGAGUUGAAGCCCAUGGCCCCUUGUCCUAUUGCUGAUGCCUGGGAGAAGAGACCAAUCCCCACCUGGCUAGAACUGCCCUUCAGGUAGUUCUAGAGAGUGCUGAGCUCAGCUCUAAGCCUCCUCUUCUCCAGACUAAACAAGCCCAGCUCCCUCAGCCUCUCCCCAUAGGGCUUGUGUUCCAGUCCCUUCCCCAGUCUUGUUGCUCUUCUCUGGACCCGCUCCAGCACUUCAAUCUCUUUCCUGAACUGAGGGGCCCAGAACUGAACACAAUACUCCAGGUGUGGCCUCCCCAAUGCAGAGUACAGGGGAAGGAUCACUGCCCUUGGCCUGCUCACCACACUCUUUUGGAUACAGGACAGGAUCCCAUUGGCCUUCUUGGCCACCUGGGCACACUGUUGGCUCAUGUUGAGCUUCCUGUCCAUUAGUCCCCCAGGUCCCUUUCUGCCUGGCUGCUCUCCAGCCACUCUGUGCCCAGCCUGGAGCGCUGCAGGGGGUUGUGGCCAAAGCGCAGGACCCGGCACUUGGCCUUGUUGAACUUCAUCCCAUUGGAAUCGGCCCAUUUUUCCAGUCUAUCCAGAUCCCUCUGCAGAGCCCUCCUGCCUUCCAGCACUGCUCUUGAGAUCCCCGGUGCUGCUGGAGCAGUUGUGGUGCUCACCCAGGAUGGGAACACAGAGCCCUUGUCUCCAUCUCUUUGUGUGGGUUGCCAGCUGGUUUGUUCUUUUCUAUUUGUAUUGCUCCUGCUUGCAACUUGAUGUGAUGCUUUUUGGGCUUGGGUUUUGGGUUGGUCUUUUUUAUUUUUAUGUUGCUUGCAAGGCAGAUAUGUUUUCUUUUCCUUGUAACCUAUGGAAAAACUAAAGCUUCAAAAAAAUUUAAAGCAAUCCAGCUUUUUGAAACUGCGUAAUUGAAGAGCUCUGAAGUAAUUGGCUUAUUAUAGUGCACCCGUAAAAAUGAAUUUGCAUCUCAUUUAUGAACUAUUAGAUUCCCUAUUACAUGAGACUGAUUGUUCUUAAUGUGACUCGCAUGUAAUUUAGCAUUCUUUACUCAAACACUUGUAGCGAAGCGCUGGGGGAGGGAAGUUCAUUCCAAAGUGGUGGUGCCAGAACUCAAGAUUCUGGAACAUUUGGGACGGCAUCCUGCAUGUUGUGUUCUCAGUGCGCUGUUUGUCUCUAUAUUCCCAUCCCAGUUCCACGCUGUGAUGAAGAAUUACUGGUGUUUCAGAAUAUUUUAUUUUCCAUAGCUAGCAAAUAGCAAAAAAUGACAUUUCUAAGAAGAGAUACAAAGAACGCCACGGUCUUUGCAAGAGGCUGGUGUUAGUCCCUCUUUGGAUACAGCCGGGUAAGAAAAUAUUGGUGCCAACUGUUCAACAGGAGCAAGUGUAGCCCUGGGGUUGCAGUUUUGAAUAUCGGUAGUUCCAAAUAUAUGUGGAUACUCUUGUAUGUGUUUUUGACGGAAAGCAUGUAGAGAGUUGAGUCUUUAAUCAGCCCUUUUGUUCAGCCAGUAGAAUGUGUGGUCAAAUCCAGUGCAUGAUCCCAGUGGGUUUUUUUGGGGUGGCUGGUAAGCGGCACAUCGGCUGGUGUAAGGGGAAGGAAUUCUGCAUUGAAACGUUGUAAAAGGACCUUGUGCUCCUUUAGACAAAAUAAAAUAUGUACAAUUCUAUUAACUUCAGAGCAGUAAUUAGCAACAUUGACAGCAGUUACAUCAGAACAGUGCUGAAGACCUUAGUAUUUCAUUUGCCUUUCUUCUUGAUUGUAAAUCCUCUCCCAAUUUUCAUUCAGCAGUCCAGUCAAUACACCCAGAAAUGCGUGAUACACCAACAGCCAGGGAAGGAGAAGUCAUCCCUCCAGUCCUCUAAUCCCUCUCUCAUGCUGAUUUACAACAGAUUAAAUUUAGGUUCAGAUAUGUGGACGUACUGCGCCUUUAAGAGCUACCAUUUUAUGUAGGGAAAUUAUUCACUUUAUACAUUAGAGCAGAUCAGAAAUGUGUCCGUACGAUCCUGGGCGGUUCUGGGCUGUCAUGUGCCCUAAGGGGAGCGAUCGCUCCCAGCCCGUGUUCAACCUGACACUGCGGCUGAUACAGCAACGGGGACUCUGCCCCUCGGGGGUCAGGAGAGAGCGCCGUGCAGCUCAGACCUUAACGGAUAUGACGGGCUUUGUUCUUGUUUUGUUUAGAGGUGGAUUUUACACUCAGAACCUGUGAAAGGUUGUAAUAAGGAUUCAGAGUUCAGGGGUUAAGCAGAAUUGAUCUGUUGGCUUUUCCAAGGCGGGUGCUCUGCUGGCCUGGCCUUUGGAGGAUAAAUGUCGUAUUCAGAGCAAUGCAGGUUGCUGUUGGGACUCGCUCUGCUGCGGGAUCACUGGCGCGGGGCUGCGAAGAACAGGCUUCUGUUUGCUUUUGGGGGAAGGUGGAAACACGCAUUUUUCAAAGCAGCUGGUUCUUUUGUAAAUGUCUGUUUUUAAUUCCCAAGCAAACAUGUUUUCAGUCUGUUUCCAUCUCAGAAGGUGGAUUCUAGGCACAGUUUAAAAGAUUACUUUCAGCUUUCGCUAGCUGGCAAUCAAAAGCACCCGUCAUCCUGCAUCAAACGUUUUAAUUCUCUGCUUCGGCUUAAACUUGUGAGUAAAGAAAAAGUCUGGAUGGAGUCGAGGCUGUAAAAUCUGUUCCCUCUCUCCCCCUUCUUUUUUUAAUAUGUGUAUUUUAUGAGGAAAGCUUCAUUUUUCCCCCCAGAGUUAAAAGGUUUCAUUGCUGGAGUUUCUUUUUGGAGAAAACCCAUUACAAAUGUGCCUCAGCGUCCUGAGUGCCCGGGGGUUCAGGGCGCUGCCUUGUACACAGCGCAGCGCGGGGCACCGUCUGCCUCCCAGCGCUCGCCAAACCGAGGGAGGACAGAGGUGGGAAGGGGUUUGUCCUCCCGCAAACUGCGCGACUUCGGUGUCGUGCGGGGAACGAGCGCUGAGCCGAGAACUGAACCUCCUGCAAGCGGCAUUGCUGCUUGUUUGCAAACACCGCUGUUUGUUUUCUAAAGCGUGUGUUUAAAGGACAUGCCGUGAUUACUAAUAGUCUAAAUUAAAAGGGCAAAAAGCUGGAGAGAGACAGUAGAGGGAAAUUGUUACACCUGUUAUCCUGUUCAUUACUCACCGCUGUUUGUGUUUUUACACUGCUACAGAUCACCACACUGACAUAAUGCUAAUUAUCUGUGCAGGAGGUCAUUUUUGCAUGCUAAAGGAAAACACUGGUAUGUCUUGCUAAUUUGAUUUUAAUAUCUUUGCCAUGCUAUUGUUUGGCCUAGAAAUUAGAUUGCUUUUUACUAAUAUAAUUGGCUAAUUAAAACAUCUUCUGUAGGAGAUGGGGAAGAUACCCGCAGUCCUUAUGUGACUUGGGACAUAAUAAAGUAAACAUGAGUCAGUUCCUAAUCCAACAAGAGCUCAUUUAGAGCAUGAAGGAGUACCUUCAAUACAGUUUUCUUAAUAAAGUUUUGAGAUAAUUUAGGGUCCAGUCCUCCACAUUCAAAAUGGAGAUAGAAGCACUGGAACUUAGAAGACCAAGCCCUGUAGGACUUCUGUCGUGAUACCCAACUAGUAUCAAUCCCAUCUUUUUGCAGUAUUCUAUAUAUUGUCUCUAUAAGUUCCUUAUAUGGGGUUAGUUGUGAAAAUGUAAAGCAACAGAUAAGGGUAAAGUUGCACCAAAGCACACUCCCACUGCCCCAGCAAACAGAACAUACCUGGGUGUGCAGCCUGUCUGUAAGAUUCAACAUGUCCUUCCUUCCCCGCUACCACGUGGCGCCUGCUCUGAGCCCCCGGGUUGCACCGUAAUGCACCGUCCUUCAGACAGGACCAGCCCCAUCCUCCACAAUCUGUCUCUGGAAAGCGUUUGAGAGACUCACACUCAUCAUAUUUAAUUUGUAUGUGCAAAUGAUUCUAACUAAAUGUAGGCUUCCCUUAGUAUCUUCAAUUAAAAGCUCUGGAUGUACUCCGAAGUUACAAAUUCCUUCACUAAGCCAAUAGGGAAUGAUAAUGAAUUAUUGCUAAUAUAGCCAUAAAGCUUUUAUUUGCAUAAGUAAUAUGAAGCUAAUGUGUGGAUAAAAUUAAACUUUAAAAUGAAAUAUUAUUAAAACAAAACUGUUAAUGAAUUUGAACACAUUACUGAGCAGGUAUGUGUGGCAGCUGGCUAGAACAGAUAACUCUUAAUAGGAGUCUAGUAGAAUCAAAAUCAAUAUUGAACAUUACACAACACAUUGAAGACAGUUUAGCAAGUUAUAUGUGCUCAUCUUCUCAAUUCCAACGUGCUUCAUCAUCGUUAGCGUUCCCAACCAUAACGAAAAGUAAAGGUGUCACAAGGCAGGAGGGAGAACCAAAUUUGUGAAUUUAAGUAUUUCAUUUGCUGUUUUUAGUGUUAUAAUUAGAUUGGCUUGAGAGAAGACGCUCUGAAUUCUCACUAGUAUGGAAGAAAAACUGAAGAUUGAAGGUCACAUUAUAAAUUGAUGAUGGAUAUAUAUGCUCCUUAUACCAGCAGAAUUACCGUCAUUAUUAUAUUAAGAACACUUACCUGGCAGCUUCAGAAACGGAGGUUCGGCAAUAAUUGUGUGUGUGCUGGAGAUCCUUGAACACGGAGACAUCACGUGGAAAUCGCUGUUGCCAGUUCUGCAGAAGAAACCAAGGUAAACCGGUGGGAAGUUAUAACCAGCUCUAAUUGUUGGCUUUGUGGUAAAGCACUCGAUUUGUGAUGAAGAACAUACCACGACCAUCUUCAAGUGGAGGACGAGAAGAGCCUUGGCCUUGUCCUCUGGUGAGAGGCAGCACAGUCAGACUGGGUAUGAUGUCUGUGUGGACCCAGCAGGAAGAUAAGAACUGAGCCUCAAGCCAGCUCUGUAAAGCAGCACAACUAGCUCUCUUCAGCAUCAAGGAAAACUUCAUUUAAGAACUGUAUUUAAUGAAACCUCCAGUCUUCAAAAAGGGCAAGAAGGAGGACCCAGGUAACUAUAGACCGGUCAGCCUCACCUCCAUCCCUGGGAAACUGAUGGAACAACUUCUCCUUGGUGCCAUCUCAAGGCAUAUCAGGGUUAAGAGGGUCAUUAGGGGCAGUCAACAUGGCUUCACCAAGGGGAAGUCAUGCUUGACCAACCUCAUUGACUUUUAUGAGGACAUAACAAGAUGGAUGGAUGAUGGCAGAGCGGUGGAUGUGGUCUACCUUGACUUGAGUAAGGCAUUUGACACAGUAUCACAGUCUCCCACAGCAUCCUCACAGCUAAACUGAGGGAGUGCGGUCUGGAUGAGCGGGUAGUGAGGUGACUGCAAACUGGCUGAAGGGAAGAAGCCAUAGAGUCGUGGUCAAUGGGGCAGAGUCCAGUUGAGGCCUGGAUCUAGUGCAGUGCCUCAGGGGGCAGUGCUGGGGCCUAUACUAUUCAAUAUAUUCAUCAAUUAUUUGGACAAGGGAAUAGAGUGACUAUCAGCAAGUUUGCUGAUGACACCAAGCUGGGAGGAGUGGCUGACACUGGAAGCUGUGCUGCCAUCAGAGACCUGGACAGGAUGGAGAGUUGGGCGGGGAAAAUUUAAUGAAAUGUAACAAGGGCAAGUGUAGAGUCUUUUAUCUGGGUAGGAACAACCCCAGGUUCCAGUAUAAGUUGGGGAAUGACCUAUUAGAGAGCAGCAUAGGGGAAAGGGACCUGGGGGUCCUGGGGACAGCAGGAUGACCAUGAGCCAGCACUGGGCCCUUGUGGCCAGGAAGCCAAUGGUACCUGGGGUGGGUUAGAAGGGGGUGGUCAGUAGGUCAGAGAGGUUCUCCUGCCCCUCUGCUCUGCCCUGGGGAGACCACACCUGGAAUAUUGUGUCCAGCUGUGGCCCCUCAGUUCCAGCAGGACAGGGAACUGCUGGAGAGAGUCCAGCGCAGCCACCAAGAUGCUGGAGGGAGUGGAGCAUCUCCCGUGUGAGGAAAGGCUGAGGGAGCUGGGGCUCUGGAGCUGGACAAGAGGAGACUGAGGGGGGACUCAUUCAUGGGGAUCAAUAUGGAAAGGGGGAGUGUCAGGAGGAUGGAGCCAGGCUCUUCUCAGUGACAACUAAUGAUAGGACAAGGAGUAAUGGGUACAAACUGGAACACAAAAGGUUGCACUUAAAUUUGAGAAGAAACUUCUCAGUAAGGGUGACAGCGGCUCUUGGCGGCAGAGGCUCAGCUCGUGCUCCAAGAGGUCGCGCUCAAGGGGCGAAGCCUCGAUGAGAAUCCUGUUUUUAU